rnacentral:rRNA from 1 species
ACCCACACUAACCCCGCGCCAGGGAACUACGAGCCUUAGCUUAAAACCCAAAGGACUUGACGGUGUCCCACCCAACUAGAGGAGCCUGUUCUAUAAUCGAUAACCCCCGCUUCACCCAACCCCCCCUUGCUUUAUCAGCCUGUAUACCUCCGUCGUAAACCCGCCGUAUGAAUGUACUUAAGCGGAUUCAAUGGUCUCCCACCAACACGUCAGGUCAAGGUGCAGCCAAUGGGGGUGGUAAGUAAUGGGCUACAAUUUCUAACCUAGAACAAACGAAGUACUGUAUGAAACACAGUCAUGAAGGAGGAUUUAGUAGUAAAAAGAAAGUAGCGUGUUCUUUUUAACACGGCCCUGGGACGUGU